GACGAACGCUGGCGGCGUGCCUAAUACAUGCGAGUCGAACGCUUCUUUCCUCCCGAGUGCUUGCACUCAAUUGGAAAGAGGAGUGGCGGACGGGUGAGUAACACGUGGGUAACCUACCCAUCAGAGGGGGAUAACACUUGGAAACAGGUGCUAAUACCGCAUAACAGUUUAUGCCGCAUGGCAUAAGAGUGAAAGGCGCUUUCGGGUGUCGCUGAUGGAUGGACCCGCGGUGCAUUAGCUAGUUGGUGAGGUAACGGCUCACCAAGGCCACGAUGCAUAGCCGACCUGAGAGGGUGAUCGGCCACACUGGGACUGAGACACGGCCCAGACUCCUACGGGAGGCAGCAGUAGGGAAUCUUCGGCAAUGGACGAAAGUCUGACCGAGCAACGCCGCGUGAGUGAAGAAGGUUUUCGGAUCGUAAAACUCUGUUGUUAGAGAAGAACAAGGACGUUAGUAACUGAACGUCCCCUGACGGUAUCUAACCAGAAAGCCACGGCUAACUACGUG
rnacentral:rRNA from 1 species